CCAGUUGGUCGGCUCUUACUUCCUGUGGAAGGACGUGUCACUUGGGGAGGACAUGCCUCUCCAUGUAUUCAUGACUUUUUUCCAGCCCCGGAUCAUAGGGAAGGAGUCCAGGGGGUGGUAUUAUAUUACACCUUGGGGGGCUCACGCACCCUUUGUGGUGGGAUUGCCUUCCUCCAUUAAGGGAUGGAAGGAGUCCUGGUUCUGGGUGCGGGGAAAAUGGCAGGCAGUGGAGGGGGACAA
rnacentral:lncRNA from 1 species